AUAAAACCCACCCAGCCAGCCCCCAGCGCAGAUGGCGGCGAGCUGGAAGGAGCGCGCGCCUCGGCUCUGAAGCCCUGGCCAGCUCCUCCGAAGAGCGCGGUGCCCAUGCCAGAGCUGCGCACCUGGGUGUCUCUUCAGGGAUGACAUCAUGGACUCACCCCCUGUCCUCAAGGACCACCUCCCCUGGAUGCCAAGCUGAUGCCAGACGCCUGCCGCCCACCUCCUCCUCACGGUCCUCAUUUGGAUAGGGCACCAAGAGCAUGGUUUCCUGGACCCCUUCACCCCACCCAGCAGCCACCAGCAGACCCCCAGGACCAGCCGCUGCAAGGACAGGACGAAGACGCCCGGAACUGGCCAGCAGCUGUCCCUCGGGGCUGAAGACUUAAACCAAUGCCCUAGUGAGGGGGCACUGGGCCUUUCCCUCUGACCUUCACCCUGCCUGUGGCUUGACUCUUGUCUCUUGUGUGUCAUUGCUGUGUCCACCUGCAAGGCAACUGGUGCUUCCUUCCCCCGGGGUGUCAGUCUUCCUCAACUGACUGCGUCGUCACACACCUUCCCGAGUGGAGUGGUCCCUUUGGGAAUUUCUCAGGAGGGGGACCUGGGCCAAGAGCAACUCCAGGGCCCUGGGCAGGCUUCUGGAAUGAGCAUGUGACUGACUGCCAAUGGCAGGCCCACCUCUCCCAGGACCUCCCUGUCCUUUCUGGGGAGCAGGGAUGCUGAGCAACCUCCUAGGUGGUUGUGAGAAUUAAAUGAGCUAAAGUAGCCCAGGUCUAGGCGGGCAUAGAGGAGGCGGUCAGCAAAUGCUUGUUGAACAGUCUGCCAGCUGUGUUCUGUCCCACCCAGCUUGGUCUUAUUUGUCUUAUUUAUUCUCCCACAGACUCCGACAGCCCCCAUCAUGGGGAUCUCCUUGUGCCAGGCAGGGGCGACACAGAGACACCGGCCAGAGGGUGGACUUGAGUAAGGACAUGAAUUAUGCACAUGGUAACUUUCAGAGCACUUUCUACAUAGCACAAAUGGCACGAUUCAUAUGGAAUCUCCACAUGUCACCAGGUGGCCUUACUGACAGACCUGGGUGAAUUUGGUUUUGAUUUGCUUAAUGUGAAAAAGGUAGGCAGGGAGCAGGAUGAUUACCUCAAGACCUGUCCCACUGGGCAGGUCUUCACAUUUGCAGGGGAAGCUAAAGGGGAGGAAUGUAAGCAUUUUUUCCAUUGCUGGCAAGAGAAGGGGUCAGAGUUGUGCCCUGGGUGGUGUUGUAGCUGCCCCUGAUCCUCCUGGUGCCCCUGGCCUGGAGUUCUUUUAUUUUUCAUCAAACGUUUGACAGUGGGGCAGCCUGUCUGAAAUUGCAGCUGUCCAGGGUGGUCUUGGGGUCUGAGUGGCCACAAGGCCGGUUCCAUGUUCUGCCUGCACCUCUUAAUAACGGUGUGACCUUCAACAAGUUGCUUAACUUCUCCAACUUUUAGUUCCUUUCAUGGGUCUAAAUGGGGAUUGAAAACAAAAAAACAAAACUCAAAAACCCCAACCCUAGUUUAUUUACCCCACAGGGUGCUUUUGAAGGCCAAAUGAUGUAACCCCAAUGAAAGUGCUUUGUAAAUUGCUGUGGAAAUUGCAGGACACUUAAAUCCAGGCCACCCCUUGGUGUCCCCUGUCCAGCCCUCUGCUCCUUUCCUGAUCACAGGCAGCACCCAGCAGGUUCCUCUGGGUGUUUGCACUCAACAAAUAAAUUUCAGAAUCAGUAAAAGUGGAAUUAAUUCAGCAAACAUUUUCUGAAAUGCUGACAAUAUGCCUAAUGUGCCAGGCUAGGUAUGGGACACAAAGAUAAUGAAAACAAUCUCUUGCAAGCUAAUUGGGGUCCUCAUUUGGCCAGUACUUUCUUUGGUCCCCUUUUGAGCCAACCAGUUUUGUCCAGACAAGACAAAAACAACUCUGGGUGGCUUUAGAGAAGCCCAGCUUGGUGUGGACAAUAGCUGCCGAGAGUUUGGAAGGGCCUGAUUGGAUUAUGUGGCAAAUGGAGGUGGAAGGCUGGCUUAGAAGGUAACAAAUGAAGUGGGUGGGGACCUGCUUUGAGUUAAUUCAGGCUAUUAGGAGGGGACCUUUUGUCUUCAGAGACUGGCAGGAGCUUUCACCACUGGUUUUUAUAUCCUUCAUGUUCAGGACCUGUAACUCCUGGCUGGUGACCUCCAGGGCUCAGUGAGAGCCCGGCUGAUGGGGAGGGUCUCUGCUCCCAGUGAGAGGCCAGAGCAAGCGCUGUGUCUCUUUUUGCAAUGGUUCAUUCGUUUGAUCCUCACAACUCCCUGUCCUGACCCAGGACCGGCCUGCCACCACCCAGGGACACAGAGGCUGUCAAGUGGCUCCUCCGAUCCAGCCCCCCCAGGUCCCCAUUGCCUAAGAUUCAACAGGAGACGUGAACCUGUCUCCAGCCUGCACCUCCAUCUCAGCCUCCUUCUUGUCCUGACUCUGCUCUCCUCGAAGCCUGGAGUUCCAGGUCCCUCCUGUCCCCUUCUGGCCACUCCAGUCUCUCUCUUUCCUCCGCAGCCCAGCUUCUCGAAAGGCCUGUCUCCACUGCUUUCCUCCCUCACCUCCAUGUCCUCUUCAACCCAUGCCUCCCGACCCGCUCUGCUCCGCCCAGCGGCUCCCGCCAGUGUCUCACUGUGUCGUCGAGGCUGGCCUUGAACUCAUGGCCAUCCUCCGGCCUCAGCCUCCUGAGUGUUGGGAUCACAGGUGUGUGCCACCACGCCCAGCAUGGUUGGGUCUUUAGAACCCACCUGGGAAGUCCCCUUAAAGCCACAAGCGAGAUCUGAGCUAUCUGCUCCCUAGGGUGCAGGGCUGCACUCUGAACCAUUUCCUAGACUCCUGAGAGGCUCUGUACCAGAGAUGGGUACAGCCCCCCUUCCCCUCCAUGGCUCCUAGGGAGACAGCGGGAGGCAGCUCCAGUCAGAUGGGAAGUGAAAUGUGUGGGGUCCAGAAAGCCUCCCUCAUUUUUCUCAGAAUUGCUAUUUUUUUCUUUUUUGCCUUCACUGCUCCUGUGCUGUUUGCUUUCUCAGUCUCCUGUCUCUUCCUCUCCCUCCCAUUCUAAUGUGGUCCUCUUGGGGUGCCCUAGGCCAGCCCCCCCUCCUCUGGGUGUCCCAGCACCAGCCUGGCAUAGAGUGGGGCUCAGUAAGAGUAUGUGGGACGUCUGUUUGGGCAGGUGGGUGAAUGACGGGCUCGACCGCCACUACGAGCAGCAGUGGGCCACACAGGAGUGCCAGGACCAGGGUGGGGGCUGGGGGUGGGCAGCUCCCCACAGCCCCGAUUGCAGGGGACUGUGGGUCUGGCCCUCAUUCACCCGCGCGUCCAUUCCGUCGGCCAACAGUUGAUCCUAACUGAGCGUGCCCAUGGCGCCAGCCCCGGGCUGGGCACCUGCCACUUAGCGUGUCCCUUGAUGGCCUCUGUUUCCCAGGGAGGGCAGCUGGGGGGUUGUCCCAGGUGCCGGAGCAGCGGGCUCUGGCUUUGUAGUGGGCAGCAAGAGGGUGCGGGGCAGCCUGGAAGCCUGUUGGGUCUUCCACGCAAACCGCACACCUGCCUGUCCCUGGGCCCUGCACCCAGCCCCGUAACUGAGUGUGGACUCCCGGCCUGGUGCACGGGGAAGGCCUUGAGGUGUACCAGGUGUUGGCACAUGAGGACAUGUGGGGGCGCUGUGACUUGGACCCUCCCUCAGCAUCUUCCUCCCUGGGGGCCCUGUUCAGCCCCCUGGUACAUCCUUGCUGGGUGGGGACCAUGUCCCAGGCAAAAGGACAGAUGGCAGGGAACCCCCUGGUCGCCUGCGGGCUCUGCCUCUGACUGGUCCUCCUACCUGCCUGGCCUUCCACUGCUCCUGCCUCUGGUCACUGUGCCCACCUGUCGUGUUGUUGCCCCUCUGCCUUGGUCACUGGGUGUGGUCUGCCCUGCCCAGCCCUCUGUCCUUGCAAGCCCACACUGUGGCCACCUGUCCCACCUGCUGCCCUCAGUCCCUUCCCCAGGUCUAGACUCGACUCCUUAGUUCGCUCAGUGUUGCCUCAGUUUCCAACAGGUUCCUGGUGCCAUGGGCUCCAUGUCUCACUGGCCACCAUGCUGCUCAGAUGCCUCUUCCCUCGGGCCCAGCUUCCGAGGUCCCUGUGGCCAGGGUCCUCAAUGGGCCCGAGACCCCUUGUCAUGUUCUGCCCAUUCCCACUACCAUGUCCCCGAGAGGCCGGGCUCAGCCCCUCCUGGCACCCUGCUGGCCACUUGGUGUUGGUUUCGGGGGGCCACCCUUUCCUGUCCCGACUCGUCCCACCCGGUCACCUCAUACCGCCGAAAAGCAGCCUGCAGCUGGCCUUUUCCACCAUGGCUGUGACCUUGGCUGGUCAGGCUGAAGGACUUCGGACGGAAGUAACGGGGAGGACCCACAGGAGCCACUGCCCAAGACUUCUCCACUCUCUUCUUCCUUCGCCUCCGUCCUGGUUCGGGCCAAAGUUACCACCACUGGGAAACCUGCGUGGGACAGGACUUCGGAUACCUUGCCUGGCACCCCAGUGCCCCCCAGCUCCGAAUCAUGAGGAUGGAAGGACCCGCCUCUCAAACGGGCUUCACUCCGGUGACCUGCGCUCACCCCCUCGAAAUGUCUGGAAAACAUAAUGGGCAGGUUUUCUGUCUUCAAAGUUUCCGGCUAAACCUCUUCAAGUUCUUUAUUGUUUGGGACUGGGACACUCAGGAAUGCCUUCACAGCCACGGGGACGCCCAGCGCACGUUCCCACGGGAGAGGCUGGACCCAGAGAUUCUGGACCGGGCCUCCCCUUGAGUAGAGAGGCGCCCUCUGACCGAUGGACUGCGCUGACCCCGGGGUCAGCCACCCAGCCCUGCACGCUGAGACUUGGGGGAGCUGAGGACCCUCCACUGCCCGCCUCUGUGAAGUGGGCUCGGACACCUGCCUCCCAUCACAGGGCUGCCAAGAGGCACUGGGAUGUGGUUCCAAAACGCCGGGUUGGGCUCGACUUCUCGUGCUCUCAAUAAAUGUUUCUUGUCUUAACCAAA